rnacentral:rRNA from 1 species
GAUAAACGCUGGCGGCGUGCCUAAUACAUGCAAGUCGAACGGUAACGAAUUCUUCACCGAGGCUCAGAACAGGUUUUUAGUUUAUAGGUUAGAGGUUCUAGUUUUCUAGCACCUAAAACCUAGCCCCUAAUACCUAUUAAUUCUGAACUUUAGUGAAGAAUGUCGACGAGUGGCGGACGGCUGAGUAACGCGUAGGAAUGUGCCCCAAAGUGAGGGAUAAGCACCAGAAAUGGUGUCUAAUACCGCANACGGUCUAAGGAUUAAAGCCUUCGGGCGCUAUGGGAACAGCCUGCGUAAGAUUAGCUAGUUGGUAGUGUAAUGGACUACCAAGGCUACGAUCUUUAGCUGGGUCUGAGAGGAUGAUC